AUACGUAGGGAGCGAGCGUUGUCCGGAAUUACUGGGUGUAAAGGGAGCGUAGGCGGGAUGGCAAGUCAGAUGUGAAAACUAUGGGCUCAACCCAUAGACUGCAUUUGAAACUGUUGUUCUUGAGUGAAGUAGAGGUAAGCGGAAUUCCUGGUGUAGCGGUGAAAUGCGUAGAUAUCAGGAGGAACAUCGGUGGCGAAGGCGGCUUACUGGGCUUUUACUGACGCUGAGGCACGAAAGCGUGGGGAGCAAACAGGAUUAGAUACCCUGGUAGUCCACGCUGUAAACGAUGAUGACUAGGUGUGGGGGGACUGAACCCUUCCGUGCCGCAGUUAACACAAUAAGUCAUCCACCUGGGGAGUACGGCCGCAAGGUUGAAACUCAAAUGAAUUGACGGGG
rnacentral:rRNA from 1 species